GCCCGGCACCACCAGCCUCAUUGAGGACAUUGACAAAAAAUACUUGGUCCUGCUUCAAGAUGGAAGGACACUUAAUAGACUUAAGAAGUAUUGAUCAAUUUGGACUUGGAAAAUGAGAAUGACACACCCCUCCAGCAAGUAUCCAUUGAAGAAAUCCUAGAAGACCAAAGCGUGGACCAGCAGACCAGGCUGGAAGUAGAGGAACUGAAAGUUCAGGCCCACUGGGAUCAAGGUCUUUCCAUUCCUUGAGCAGAUACUCUUGAUGAGUAUUAA
rnacentral:lncRNA from 1 species